rnacentral:rRNA from 1 species
CCUACGGGUGGCAGCAGUGAGGAAUAUUGGUCAAUGGACGCUAGCCUGAACCAGCCAUGCAGCGUGAAGGAUGACGGCCCUAUGGGUUGUAAACUGCUUUUAUAUGAGGGUAAAUUGCGGUACGUGUACUGCUUUGCAUGUACCGUAUGAAUAAGGAUCGGCUAACUCCGUGCCAGCAGCCGCGGUAAUACGGAGGAUUCAAGCGUUAUCCGGAUUUAUUGGGUUUAAAGGGUGCGUAGGCGGUUUGUUAAGUCAGUGGUGAAAGUUCGGGGCUCAACCCCAACAUUGCCGCUGAUACUGGCAGGCUAGAGUAUAGUUGCGGUAGGCGGAAUGUGUGGUGUAGCGGUGAAAUGCAUAGAGAUCACGCAGAACACCGAUUGCGAAGGCAGCUUACUAAACUGCGACUGACGUUGAGGCACGAAAGUGUGGGGAGCAAACAGGAUUAGAUACCCGUGUAGUC